UACGUAGGGGGCAAGCGUUGUCCGGAUUUAUUGGGCGUAAAGAGCGUGUAGGCGGCUUUACAGGUCCGUUGUGAAAACUCGAGGCUCAACCUCGAGACGCCGGUGGAAACCGUAAAGCUAGAGUCCGGAAGAGGAGAGUGGAAUUCCUGGUGUAGCGGUGAAAUGCGCCAGAUAUCGAGGAGGAACACCUGCGGCGAAGGCGGGUUGCUGGGCUGACACGUGACGCUGGAUGCGCGAAAGCUAGGGAGCGAAACGGG
rnacentral:rRNA from 1 species